rnacentral:rRNA from 1 species
AUUGAACGCUGGCGGCAGGCCUAACACAUGCAAGUCGAGCGAGCGGCGGACGGGUGAGUAAUGUAUGGGGACUGCCCGAUAGAGGGGGAUAACUACUGGAAACGGUGGCUAAUACCGCAUACUAUCGGAUAACCCAUAUGGGAUUAGCUAGUAGGUGGGGUAAAGGCUCACCUAGGCGACGAUCUCUAGCUGGUCUGAGAGGAUGAUGAGCCAAGCUGGGACUGAGACACGACCCGGGCUCCUGCGGAGACAGCAGUGGGGAGUAUUGCACAGUGGGCGCGAGCCUGCUUCAGCCGUGCGGCGUGUAUGAAAAGGUCCUUAGGGUUGUAAAGUACUUUCAGCGGGGAGGCGUUACCCGCAGAAGAAGCACCGGCUAACUCCGUGCCAGCAGCCGCGGUAAUAC